CGAACGGGAAUGCACAUAUUUAUAUAUUAAAUUGUCUAUUGUUUUGAAAUAAUAGAAUUUCAUUAUUUCUUUUGCCUUAAAGUUACACCAACUGGUUCCUUGUUUUUUCUUUUCAUUAUCUAAUCCGUUUAAAGAUUUGUUAAACCCUCGGGUGCCUCAAUGGUAUUUGUAAUACGUCUGUAAUACGAGUACACAAAUUGGUGUGUAAAUCCGCAAGCAGUGAACAGUGUGUGGCGUUUACCUAUAGCUAUACUGACGCGUUGAUAUAAUCUUCAGAUUUACACAGAAAACUUCUUGUCAAGAUGAUUUCAUUAGAGAGCUGUUUGGUAUUUAUUCUGUCAACCAUCAUUCCAGCAAUAUAUUGUGAGGGAGAAAAGCUUGAAUCCAAUUACAAGCACCCUGAUGUAGCAGCUGAAAGACAGCAGACGGUCAUCAUCGGAGUUGUUGUUGGUCUGUGUCUAGCCUGUGUUUUCCUCGUCAUUCUCUGCAUCUCAUACAACUAUUACAAACACAAGCCAUACAGGAACACCCCACGUGAUGUUGAGGAACCAUUAACAGCCAUGAAAUAAACAGGAAAUGACACUUGACUAUGGAAUCAUGGGUAAUUCCACAUUCCAUUUGUUGGAAUUAUUUUGUAGUUACACAUGAGAUGGAAUUUCCCAUGAUUCUAUAGGAUUUUUUUGUGAUAAAAGAAAGAAGACACAUUUUGAAAACAGCUGAAAAUUUGAAAAAACUGACAUUAGAAUCUCAAUGCAAGACACAACGAAAGGAGAUUUGAUACUUUUUUUUUUUACCAAGAAUUGAAGUGUACAGGAUAGAUAUAUUAUUGUCUCCCUUUUCAAAAAAGUUUAUGAAAUAAAAGACCAAAAAAUCUUUCUAUAUGCAAAUCAGCAAAUCAGUAAAUUACAUACAUGUGUAAUUAUUCUGAGAAAAAUAUUCAAUGUCAAUUUUUUUUUUAUCUUCAUUGUCAGAGGAUGGUACAAAAUGAUAUUCCUGAUUCAUUGAGUGUCCCAUUAUAGAUUUCAUAAAUAAAGAAACCAAUUAAAUUAAUAGUCUGAAUAAGUUUUCAACUGUCAAAUCUGUACACUAAGAUAUGAAUCAGAUAGUAGUAAUAUAGUAGAAAUGCUUAUUUUUGCUCAUUGUGCAAUUUUGUAAUUUUAUAUAUAGUUAUAUUCCAUAAAACUCGGGAUUUUGUACAUUAAAAUCAUAUAUUCAGUUUUCAUAUAUCCAAUUCAAUGCAAGUCUUUUAUGGUUAAUCAUUAUUUUGUGUAAAAUGAAAUGGACAUUGAAUAAUUAUUUUUUUUAAAGUUUGAAUCUCCAGAUUGGACAAUAGCCGACAAUUUUAGUUUAAAGUAAGAGAUUGUAGUCGUUAGAAAUUAGGUUAUUAAUACAAUAUAUUCCAUUACCAUAAUCAUUCCUUGUCUAUAAAAAAUAGAUUGUUGUCCAAUUUUCUCUUCCAAUGUAAUCAUGGUUUCAUAACAUUGCAUUGAUGCUAUACAUUUGUAUGCAUUUAAUCAUUGUUCUUUUGUCUGUAUUUUAAACUUAUUUUAUUCUCUAAAUUUUUAUAACCUAAUGACUCCUAAUUCAAGAAAUAUAUUACAUUUUGGUAAAAUAGGAAAAACUAAAUAACUGUGAAAUGAAAGUUGAUUAAGUUUGUUUUUAAAAAUGUAAGACUUCAAAUUAUAUAUUUAUUUGAUAUAGGAUUGAAUUCUUCCAAAUACAUAUUUUAUCUUUAAAUUUUUAAAAGAAAUUAGUAUUUUUCUUAGUUCUUUAGAUUUAUAUAUAUAUAUAUUCUUAUGUAGAGAUAGUAAAAUUUAUUUUUGUUACCUCCCCUUUUUUGGCUGGUGUUGUUACCUCCCUUUAAUUUCAGCUGGUUUGAACUUUCAUGCAAUAUAUAGAUUGUUCCAUAUAACAUCACCAGCCCUAGUAUGUAGUUGAAGUAUCACAUUUAAUACUAUUAAGAGUUUGGUGUGCAUUAUAACUUUAGAAAAGAAGAUGAUAUUUCACAAGAGACAAAUCCGUCCCUUUGGUAUUUGAAGGAACUACUUAAACUUGUCGAAUUCUCAUAAAAAUAAUUUCAAGCUCUGAUAUGAAAUUAAAUGUCUGAAUAAUUUCAGCUCUUCUAACCUCAGGAUAUUUCAGUUAUUUGACAUAUUCAUUAAAAAGGUUUAAAGCAUUUUCUCCAAUUUGGAAACAAAUCAUUUUCACCAGGAAAAUUUGAUCAUUGUCAAGUUUUUCAUCUAGUUAUAAAGGUAUAACAUCACUAAUGGAUUGGAUGGAAAUUCAAAGAAAAAAAUACUGCAGCCUCGUUUAAGAGGCACACAAAAGCCUGAGAAAAUAAACAAUAAUUAUGCAUGUUUUGUUAUUUUUACUGUACAUAAGACUCUAUAAAUGGAAAUUGGAACAUUUUAAUAGUAUGUAGUAAUUUUUCAUUUUAUGAAAAGAACUUUCCGAAAAAUAAAAAUAUGAUUUUA